rnacentral:snRNA from 1 species
AUAUUCACAGCUUCUGGCUUAGAUCAAGUGUAGUAUCUGGUAUGUUCUCUCACUCAUCUUUCUCAUCCAUUUACAUGCUAACAAUCACCAGUUCUUCAUAGUCUAAUCGCUAUGACAUGGCCACGGCCAUUCUAAUGAUUAUUCAUCUUUUUGGAACUCGCUGGAAGACCUCUGGGCUUGCACAUGUCUUUUUGGCACAGUGUCGCUUGUAUUGCACUACUUCAAGCUGACGCGAACCCAU